UACGUAGGUGGCAAGCGUUGUCCGGAUUUAUUGGGUUUAAAGGGUGCGUAGGCGGCCCUGUAAGUCAGUGCUGAAAUAUCCCGGCUUAACCGGGAGGGUGGCAUUGAUACUGCGGGGCUAGAGUACAGAUGAGGUAGGCGGAAUUGACGGUGUAGCGGUGAAAUGCGCAGAUAUCAGGAGGAACACCGGUGGCGAAGGCGGGUCUCUGGGCCGAAAUUGACGCUGAGGAGCGAAAGCGUGGGGAGCAAACAGG
rnacentral:rRNA from 1 species